rnacentral:lncRNA from 13 species
GACCCAAGAGGCGGAGGACACACUCUUUUCCUUGGUAAGUGGUUCCUUCCAUUUAGGCUACGGAGCAAAGAUGUGCUACGUCAGUGGAGGAGAGAACGUCGAGUGACACACAGUUUGAUUUCAUUUUAGCUGCCGGUGGCAGGCGCGACUCAGGAGCUCUAUCAGAUAAAAAAAAAAGAGCCAGAGGACCAAAAGAGGAAACAUGGGAAAGAAGUCUGCAUCUUUGUUCUGAUGAACCCUCGUAAACAGGAUGAAACCGCUCAGCAACUUCAUCACGUGUCUACCCUGCUUGAUUAACUGAUGAAUUAGCCUGUACAGUCAGAUCAUCUUUAAACAUGUCUGACAACAUAAAUCCACAAACAUUGUCAGAGGCAGAGACACAGUUGACAGUGGAGCAAGGUGACAAGCACAUUGGGCAGAGUAAUCUUCUUCAAUCACCUACGAAACAGACAUUCAAGUCAGCUGCAAAUGGCACCACUGCCGUUAUACCAGACUCAGGGGACAAGUUCUCCAGCUCCUCUCAUCAGUCCGUUUCAGAGAAAGGAACAAAGAUCGCUGGUCAAAAGGCUAAUACUAAAAAAACUAAAAGAAAGAAAAAUAUGGCAACCUUGGACAAGAAUGCUGAAGACCAGAUUGUGAACCAGAAUAGGCCACCCGACCUAAAAGACCAGGACUCUGCGCAAACUACUGCUGUUGUUAAGGAUGUCUGUUUUGGUUCUCAAAAGACCGAGACCAUAGGUUCCAGUGUCGACCCACCGGAAGUGGAGCCUAUGGAGAUUGAGCAGUCUGCCGAUGGGAAAGGAGAUGCCUCCUUUUCACCAACAGGUCCAGAUUUUAAGAUGGAACCAAAGGACAACACAAUAGUUGGAUCUGAGACAGAGAGCAAAGGUGCCAGUGUUGACCGACACGUGGAGCCUAUGGAGGUUGAGCAGUCUGCCCAUGGGAAAGAAGAUGCCUCCCUUUCACCAACUAGUCCAGAUUUUAAGAGGGACAACACAAGUGAUGCCUCUGAAACUGCGGCUGGACCGACGCCAGAACGCACAGCCAUGGUUGGAUCAGAGCAGAGCAUGUGAGCGGAGUUGAGCGGUUGGAAAUCCCUUCUCAUCGCUCACGGAGCUCCGGCGCUCUGCCACAAACCGCUCAGUGCCUACAGGAUCACAGGGGGAAAAAACUGCAGCUCCAAAUUCGUUCCAUUCAUUUUCAUCGCAAUUUAACCAACACCCAUCUUUUUUUUUUUGUUACUACCUGGAUCUACCAAUUGGUUAAUAUUUAUUGAAGCCAAACCAUAUGGAUUUGAUUGAAAAGUAUUUGAAUAAUAAUGGAAAGGUGAAUGUAAGAAGCGAACAUAAUUUCAAAUAGGCUACAUGUCAUAUUAAACAGCAUAUACGGGGCAUUCAGAAAGUAUUCCGACCCUUUGAAUUCGUCCACAUUUUGUUACGUUACAGCCUUAUUCUAAAACGAAUAAAAUAAAAUAAAAAAUCCUCGUCAAUCUACACACCAUACCUCAUAAUCACAAAGCAAAAACAGGUUUUUAGAUUUGUUUUUACAAUACAUAAGUAUUCAGACCCUUUAACUCUGUACUUUGUUGAAACACCUUUGGCAGCGAUUACAGCCUUGAGUCUUCUUGGGUGUGACGCUGAAAGUUCGGUGUAACCGAUGUGAAAUGGCUAGCUAGUUAUCGGUGGUGCGCGCUAAUAGCGUUUCAAUCGGUGACGUCACUUGCUCUGAGACCUGAAGUAGUUGUUCCCCUUGCUCUGCAAGGGCCGCGGCUUUUGUGGCGCGAUGGGUAACGAUGCUUCGAGGGUGUCUGUUGUCGAUGUGUGCAGAGAGGGUCACUGGAUCAAGCCCAGGUAGGGGCGAGGAGAGGGACAGAAGCUAUACUGUUACAUUGGCACACCUCUUUAAGUUCUGUCAGGUUGGAUGGGGAGCGUCGCUGCAGAGAUGUUCGAGCGGGUUCAAGUCCGGGCUCUGGCUGGGCCACUCAAGGACAUUCAGAAACUUGUGCAUCCAUCCUCCCAGUCUCUGCUGCUGAAAAACACCCCCACAGCAUGAUGCUGCUGCCACCACCAUCUUUCACCGUAGGGAUGGUGACAGGUUUCCUCCAGACGUGACGCUUGGCAUUCAGGCCAAAGAGUUCAAUCUUUGUUUCAUCAGACCAGACAAUCUUGUUUCUCAUGGUCAGAGUACUUUAUUUCCAUUUGGCAAACUCCAAGCGGGCUGCCGUGCUUUUUACUGAGUGUCUUCCGUCUGGCCACUCUACCAUAAAGGCCUGAUUGGUGGAGUGCUGCAGAGAUGGUUGUCCUUCUGGAAGGUUCUCCCAUUCCCACAGAGGAACUCUGGAGCUCCGUCAGAGAGUCCAUCAGGUACUUGGUCAACAUAAAGGCUCAAUUUUGGCUCAAUAAAGGCUCAAUUUUGAGUCUCAUAGUAAAGGAUACUUAUGUAAAUAAGUAUAUAUCUGUUUUAUAUUUUUAAUACAUUUGCUAAAAUAAAUAAGCUGUUUUCACCUUGUCAUUAUGGGGUAUUGUGUGUAGAUUGAGGAAAAAUAUGAAUUUAAUCAAUUUUAGAGAAUGAGGUUGUAACGUCACGUGGAAAAGGGGGAGAGGGUCUGAAUACUUUCCGAAUGCACUCUAAAUAGGUCAGGACCCAGACAGGGAGCCUAAGAUGGAACCGAUAAUGAAUUAUUUAGGCUAUAUUAUUUCAAUUACUUCAAGGCUAUAGCCUACAAUGAAAUGCGUUGUGACAAAUUUGCUAGUGUGACACAAUAGGUUGGUAGGGACAUAAAGCGCUCAGCAUUUAAACAACAUUUCAUUGUAUUGAAUCAUUAUAGUUUAUAAAUUGUUGCGUUUAGGCUGUGACUUACUUAGAAUGACAUUUUUGUAUUUUAUUUUAAGAAACACGAGUUUUGUCAUCUGUGGUUUCAGGCUCAUGUGAUGGUGCCUGGAGAGCUGACCAGCUGAUCAUAUCCUCUCCACACGUGUAGAGCCAUCAGGCACGCUAGACUCCCUUUUGGCCACUCCUGCCAGGCUGGGCAGAGAUGCAGUAUUUAUAAAAGAAGAAAAUAAUAAUAAUAAUAAAAAAAUAUAUAUAUAUAUAUAUAUAUAUAUAUAUAUAUAUAGUUAGACCUAAAGGUUUUAAGGCAAAAUAACCCAAUCAAAACAAAAAGCUCCUUGAAUGUGGGAAUAUGCCAGACCUAUUAUUUUAGCAUGUGCACGUAGUAAGUACACCAUCAUGCUUUUGAGAUGCGUGUCUUUUCAGAUUCCACAAUGAUUCUUUAGUUGUGUACAUUACAUCACCACACUCCCUCCCUCUCUUGGUCCUCAUCUUUGUAAGUCACCUUGAUUCAGCACCUGUGUGUUUCAUCAGUUUCUUUAUGAAAAUGUUUAGUGAACUCCAUGACAGUAGCUAAAGCAAGGGGUUACAGCAGCACACCAAUAGACUACAAAUUCGUGGUGGGGCGAGCAUGCCACGAGCUCGUGAAAAUUGAGUGAAAUUCGAGCGGGUGAAAAGACCCGAUGCUCCAGCCUUUGAGAAUCUUCCUCCAGUCAAAUUGGCCACAGUCACUCCUCGCUCCGCUCCAAUGGGAGAAUGAGAAUUUAUUAGCUUGUUUUUUUUUUGCUCCUGCUUAGGGUAGGAUCCGUUUAAAGUUAACUUCUUACUUCAUCCUUCUAUCUGGCUUAGUAACUUACUAACCAGAGCCCUUCGAAGUUACUGCAAUAUAAGUUUCUGCUGGCAGAUAGCCACCUGACUGGCAUAUCUAUAAGCGACUAUUUAACGGUCGACUUUGGACACGAAAAACGGUCCAACUCCUCGUCUUUCUGAGCUUGUAAAGAGAAAUGGCGUGUGCUUUUUGGUGGUUCAUCUGUUUCAUUCCGGUCAUGCGUGCCCCGACCGUCGUAGCUAGUUCGUUAGCUAAUGGUGCUUUCAAUACAACUGGGAACAAAAACACAAAUGAGGUCAAAUCACAACGUCAGUGAUCUUCCGAUCGGAAAGUCAGAGCUCUUAGAAACAGGCCCCCUGUUCCCGAUUAGGAUUUCUGAGUUGGAUGAACGUUUAAAACAAAUUUUCUCAUUCGGAGCAAUUUAUUUCCCCAGAGUUCCAAGUUGUCUUGAACGCCCUGAAAUCGGACUUCGGAUAUUUCCCGGAUCUGAGGUCCACUUGAAUAAACUUUCAAAGUUCUUGAAAUGUUCUGGAUUGACUGACCUUCAUGUCUUAAAGUAAUAAUGGACUGUCGUUUCUCUUUGCUUAUUUGAGCUGUUUUUGCCAUAAUAUGGACUUUCUUUUACCAAGUAGGGAUAUCUUCUGUAUACCACCCCUACCUUGUCACAACACAACUUAUUCGCUCAAAUGCAUUAAGAUGGAAAGAAAUUCCACAAAUUAACUUUUAACAAGACACACCUGUUAACCUGUUAACCACGCCCAGCCCGUGAACGGGACCGUUAUCAUCAUCUGACACUAAUUAGCAUAACGCAACGGACAUAAAUCUUCCUGGAAAAUAUUCCUAUUCAUGAAAAUCACAAGUGAAAUAUAUUGGAACACAGCUUAGCCUUUUGUUAAUCACCCUGUCAUCUCAGAUUUUCAAAAUAUGCUUUACAGCCAACGCUAGACAAGCAUGUGUGUAAGUUUAUCAUAGCCUAGCAUAGCAUUAUGCCUUGCUAGCAGCAGGCAAACUUGUCACGGAAAUCAGAAAAGCAAUCAAAUUAAAUAGUUUACCUUUGAACUUCGAAUGUUUUCACUCACAAGACUCCCAGGUAGACAGCCAAAGUUAAUUUUUUCCCAAAAUAUUAUUUUUGUAGGCGAAAUAGCUCCGUUUGUUCUUCACGUUUGGCUGAGAAAUCGCCCGGAAAUUUCGGUCACCACGACGCCAAAAAAUAUUCCAAAUUAGCUCCAUAAUAUCGACAGUAACAUGGCAAACGUUGUAUUGAAUCCAUCCUUAAGGUGUUUUUCUAAUAUCUAUUCGAUAAUAUAUCAGUCGGGACAAUUUGUUUUUCACUCUGACCGAUUGGAGUAAUGGCUACCUCUGUAUUUUACGCGAGAAUCUCUCUCGGAGCCACCAUGUGACCACUUACGCAAUGUGGCUGCCUACGGCUAUUAUUCAACAGAAAUGCGUAAAACUACGUCACAAUGCUGUAGACACCUUGGGGAAAACGUAAGCUCGUUGAUGGUACAUUCACAGCCAUAUAGGGAGUCAUUGGAACGCAGAGCUUUCAAAACCUGGGGCACUUCCAGAUUGGAUUUUUCUCAGGCUUUCGCCUGCAACAUCAGUUCUGUUAUACUCACAGACAAUAUCUUUACAGUUUUGGAAACGUUAGUGUUUUCUAUCCAAAGCUGUCAAUUAUAUGCAUAUUCUAGCAUCUUUUCCUGACAAAAUAUCCCGUUUAAAACGGGAACGUUUUUUUUCCAAAAAUGAAAAUACUGCCCCCUAACACCAAGAGGUUAAUUGAAAUGCAUUCCAGGUGACUACCUCAUGAAGCUGGUUGAGAGAAUGCCAAGAGUGUGCAAAGCUGUCAUCAAGGCAAAUGGUGGCUACAUUGAAGAAUACUUUGAAAAUAUAUUUUGAUUUGUUUAACACUUUUUUGGUUACUACAUGAUUUCAUAUGUGUUAUUUCAUAGUUUUGGUGUAUUCACUACUUUUCUACAAUGUAGAAAAUAGUCAAAUUAAAGAAAAACCCUUGAAUGUCCAAACUUUUGACUGGUACAUUAUAUAUGACCUAUAAUUAAUUACAAUAUGAGUGAAGUAGUUUUCCUUACAAAAUAGAUAAUAAUUUAGUCUGUUAAAAAGCAUAUUUUCUGUGUUGGAAUGGUGUGGGCGUACCCCAACAACACAAGGGUGUGGGAGUAACCCGACAACACAAGGGUGUGGGCGUACCCCGACAACACAAGGGUGUGGGCGUACCCCGACAACACAAGGGUGUGGGCGUACCCCGACAACACAAGGGUGUGGGCGUACCCCGACAACACAAGGGUGUGGGCGUACCCCGACAACACAGGGGUGUGGGCGUACCACGACAACACAAG